CUGUAGCUCAGCUGGAUAGAGCAACGGCCUUCUAAGCCGUAGGUCAUGGGUUCGAAUCCCCUCAG
rnacentral:tRNA from 2 species